rnacentral:rRNA from 1 species
AGUGGAUGGGGAGCAACCUAGUUGUGCGUGUGUAAAGGUAGUGCCAAGAAAAGCGAUGAUCAUGUUGAAAAUCAAUUCCCGGUACCCGAAACCGACACAGGUGGGCAAGUAGAGAAUACUAAGGGGCGCGAGGUAACUCUCUCCAAGGAACUCGGCAAAAUGACCCCGUAACUUAGGGAGAAGGGGUGCCACCGAGAGGUGGUCGCAGUGAAGAGGCCCAGGCGACUGUUUAGCAAAAACAUAGGUCUCUGCAAACUCGAAAGAGGAGGUAUAGGGGCUGACGCCUGCCCAGUGCCGGAAGGUUAAAGAAGUUGGUCAGUUUUAGGAUGAAGCUAGCGACUGAAGCCCCGGUGAACGGCGGCCGUAACUAUAACGGUCCUAAGGUAGCGAAAUUCCUUGUCGGGUAAGUUCCGACCCGCACGAAAGGCGUAAGGAUCUGGGCGCUGUCUCGGAGAGAGGCUCGGCGAAAUAGGAUUGUCUGUGAAGAUACGGACUACCUGCAUUUGGACAGAAAGACCCUAUGAAGCUUUACUAUAGCUUGGAAUUGUGUUCGGGCUUCCUGUGCGCAGGAUAGGUGGGAGGCGUAGAAGGUAUUCUUGUGGGGAUACUGGAGCCAACGGUGAGAUACCACUCUCAGGAGGCUAGAAUUCUAACUUAAUUAAGGACAGUUUCAGGUGGGUAGUUUGACUGGGGCGGUCGCCUCCAAAAAGGUAACGGAGGCGUACAAAGGUUCCCUCAGACUGGUUGGAAAUCAGUCGAAGAGUGCAAAGGCAGAAGGGAGCUUGACUGCGAGAAGUACAGUCCGAGCAGGGUGGAAACACGGUCUUAGUGAUCCGACGGUGCUGUGUGGAAGGGCCGUCGCUCAACGGAUAAAAGUUACUCUAGGAUAACAGGCUGAUCUCCCCCAAGAGUUCACAUCGACGGGGAGGUUUGGCACCUCGAUGUCGGCUCAUCGCAACCUGGGGCGGAAGUACGUCCCAAGGGUUGGGCUGUUCGCCCAUUAAAGCGGUACGUGAGCUGGGUUCAGAACGUCGUGAGACAGUUCGGUCCAUAUCCGAUGUAGGCGUGAGAAUAUUGAGAGGAGCCUUCCUUAGUACGAGAGGACCGGGAAGGACGCACCGCUGGUGUACCUGUUAUGAUGCCAAUUGUAAACGCAGGGUAGCCAAGUGCGGAGGGGAUAACCGCUGAAAGCAUCUAAGUGGGAAGCCCACCUCAAGAUGAGUAUUCUGGUGUAAGGUCACGGGAAGACGACCCGUAAAUAGGCACGAGGUGGAAGUGCAGAGAUGUAUGAAGCCGAAGUGUACUAAUAGACCGUCGGCUUGAC